GAUCUGGCUCAGGAUGAACGCUAGCUACAGGCUUAACACAUGCAAGUCGAGGGGCAGCAUGGUCUUAGCUUGCUAAGGCCGAUGGCGACCGGCGCACGGGUGAGUAACACGUAUCCAACCGGCCGUCUACUCUUGGACAGCCUUCUGAAAGGAAGAUUAAUACAAGAUGGCAUCAUGAGUCCGCAUGUUCACAUGAUUAAAGGUAUUCCGGUAGACGAUGGGGAUGCG
rnacentral:rRNA from 1 species